GCCCAUUUGGGUCCUCAACAAAAUUGGAAAAAUAGAGAGAAAAUUAGCAUGGCCUUCUGCACAAAGAUGACAUGCACAAAAUCAAGAAACAGCCAAAAUCUUU
rfam:Capsicum annuum cultivar Zunla-1 chromosome 2, whole genome shotgun sequence